GGUUAAGUGAAUAAGGGCGCACGGUGGAUGCCUUGGCACUAGGAGCCGAUGAAGGACGGGACUAACACCGAUAUGCUUUGGGGAGCUGUACGUAAGCUAUGAUCCAGAGAUUUCCGAAUGGGGGAACCCAACAUCUUUAAUAGGAUGUUACGAUUGUGUGAAUACAUAGCACAUUCGAGGUAGACGCAGAGAACUGAAACAUCUAAGUACCUGCAGGAAGAGAAAGAAAAUUCGAUUCCCUGAGUAGCGGCGAGCGAAACGGGAAAAGCCCAAACCAGCAAGCUUGCUUGUUGGGGUUGUAGGACUCCAAUAUGGUAGUUCUUUCAGAUAGUCGAAUGACUUGGAAAAGUCAGUCAAAGAGGGUAAAAACCCCGUAGACGAAAUGUGGAAGACACCUAGGAGGAUCCUGAGUACGGCGGAACACGAGAAAUUCCGUCGGAAUCCGGGAGGACCAUCUCCCAAGGCUAAAUACUCCCUAGUGACCGAUAGUGAACCAGUACCGUGAGGGAAAGGUGAAAAGCACCCCGGAAGGGGAGUGAAAUAGAACCUGAAACCGUGUGCCUACAACAAGUCAAAGCCCGUUAAUGGGUGAUGGCGUGCCUUUUGUAGAAUGAACCGGCGAGUUACGAUUGCAUGCGAGGUUAAGUUGAAGAGACGGAGCCGCAGCGAAAGCGAGUCUGAAUAGGGCGUUUGAGUAUGUAGUCGUAGACCCGAAACCAUGUGAUCUACCCAUGUCCAGGUUGAAGGUGCGGUAAAACGCACUGGAGGACCGAACCCACGUACGUUGAAAAGUGCGGGGAUGAGGUGUGGGUAGCGGAGAAAUUCCAAACGAACUUGGAGAUAGCUGGUUCUCUCCGAAAUAGCUUUAGGGCUAGCCUCGGAAUUGAGAAUGAUGGAGGUAGAGCACUGUUUGGACUAGGGGCCCAUCUCGGGUUACCGAAUUCAGAUAAACUCCGAAUGCCAUUCAUUCAUAUCCGGGAGUCAGACUGUGAGUGAUAAGAUCCAUAGUCGAAAGGGAAACAGCCCAGACCACCAGCUAAGGUCCCAAAAUAUAUGUUAAGUGGAAAAGGAUGUGGGGUUGCACAGACAACUAGGAUGUUGGCUUAGAAGCAGCCACCAUUUAAAGAGUGCGUAAUAGCUCACUAGUCGAGUGACCCUGCGCCGAAAAUGUACCGGGGCUAAACAUAUUACCGAAGCUGUGGAGUACACCUUUAGGUGUAUUGGUAGGAGAGCGUUCUAAGGGCGUUGAAGGCAGAUCGUGAGGACUGCUGGAGCGCUUAGAAGUGAGAAUGCCGGUAUGAGUAGCGAAAGACAGGUGAGAAUCCUGUCCACCGAAUGACUAAGGUUUCCUGGGGAAGGCUCGUCCGCCCAGGGUUAGUCGGGACCUAAGCCGAGGCCGACAGGCGUAGGCGAUGGAUAACAGGUUGAUAUUCCUGUACCCGUUGUUUUUGUUUGAGCAAUGGAGGGACGCAGGAGGCUAAGGAAUGCAGACGAUCGGAAAUGUCUGUCCAAGCAGUAAGUCUGAAGAGGAGUCAAAUGCUUCUUUUCUUAAGGACAAGCUGUGAUGGGGAGGGAAAUAAUAGUACCGAAGUUCCUGAUGUCACACUGCCGAGAAAAGCUUCUAGUGAGAAAACAGCGGCCCGUACCGCAAACCGACACAGGUAGUCGAGGAGAGAAUCCUAAGGUGAGCGAGAGAACUCUCGUUAAGGAACUCGGCAAAAUGACCCCGUAACUUCGGGAGAAGGGGUGCUGAUCAUACGAUCAGCCGCAGUGAAUAGGCCCAAGCGACUGUUUAUCAAAAACACAGGUCUCUGCAAAAUCGUAAGAUGAAGUAUAGGGGCUGACGCCUGCCCGGUGCUGGAAGGUUAAGAGGAGUGCUUAGCGCAAGCGAAGGUACGAAUUGAAGCCCCAGUAAACGGCGGCCGUAACUAUAACGGUCCUAAGGUAGCGAAAUUCCUUGUCGGGUAAGUUCCGACCCGCACGAAAGGCGUAACGAUUUGGGCACUGUCUCAACGAGAGACUCGGUGAAAUUUUAGUACCUGUGAAGAUGCAGGUUACCCGCGACAGGACGGAAAGACCCCAUGGAGCUUUACUGUAGUUUGAUAUUGAGUGUCUGUACCGCAUGUACAGGAUAGGUAGGAGCCGUAGAAAUCGGAACGCUAGUUUCGAUGGAGGCGCUGGUGGGAUACUACCCCUGCGUUAUGGCCACUCUAACCCGCACCACUAAUCGUGGUGGGAGACAGUGUCAGAUGGGCAGUUUGACUGGGGCGGUCGCCUCCUAAAAGGUAACGGAGGCGCCCAAAGGUUCCCUCAGAAUGGUUGGAAAUCAUUCGAAGAGUGUAAAGGCAGAAGGGAGCUUGACUGCGAGACCAACAAGUCGAGCAGGGACGAAAGUCGGGCUUAGUGAUCCGGUGGUUCCGCAUGGAAGGGCCAUCGCUCAACGGAUAAAAGCUACCCUGGGGAUAACAGGCUUAU
rnacentral:rRNA from 1 species